UAUAGGGCACUGUCUAACAUCAUUUAUCAGCCAGCCGCAACAUAAAAUCCCAAAACGACACCGUAUGCGUUUGGCGUUGUGUAUAAAUCAUCUCCAGCUGUUAUGUAAACUUUCUUGACGCGCAUAAGAAAAACCAAACCAAACCGGCCGGCUUCUUCUUCAGAUCUAAUCUCUUCUCUUCCGAACAGCCAUAUUUCGUGUUUGUGCGUGAAUCUAAGGAUCCUUAAUCUUAUCACAUCACCAGUAAUCAUACUUUUUGUUUGUUUGUUUGUUGCCAGACAGGAUCUGUUGGUUCGUUAGAUUCACGCACAAACUCGUAAUAUGUCUCUUCAUUUGCAACCAAUCAAGAUUCUUCAUGAAUUCAUCGCCGCCGCCGGAAUCUUUGAAUCUGAUUCUGAAAUGAAGAAAUGGGUCUGUAUUAUCAAUUAUGAUAUGCUGCUGGGUUAUUUAGGACCAUAUGUAAGUUUUUAUUUGUGUCUGAUUUUAACGGAUCACUGUGGGGGGCUCCAAAAUUCACUGAUCUUGGUUGACUACCAUCGCCUUCCUUUUUUAUCGACUCUAGAUUAUCACAGGUUUUUUUUAGAGCAGAACUCCAGAUUACAUCGCAAGUUUAACUCUUUGCUACAGGGUCGUUCGAUCACCAUCUUCUCGCAGCUACCUCCUAAUCAGGUUUCUCAUGAUGUAAAAUUGUAAAAAGCAUUGAAUUUCUUGAAUAUUGGAUUCUCAUAUCAUUUUGUUAUAUCUACUUGUCCAUAACAAAAAUUAUCCUACUGACAAAUAUUGUUCAUGAUC